rnacentral:rRNA from 1 species
UACAGAGGGUGCGAGCGUUAAUCGGAAUUACUGGGCGUAAAGCGUGCGCAGGCGGUUUUGUAAGCCAGAUGUGAAAUCCCCGGGCUUAACCUGGGAAUGGCAUUUGGGACUGCAAGGCUGGAGUGCGGCAGAGGAGACUGGAAUUCCUGGUGUAGCAGUGAAAUGCGUAGAUAUCAGGAGGAAUACCGAUGGCGAAGGCAGGUCUCUGGGCUGACACUGACGCUCAUGCACGAAAGCGUGGGGAGCAACAGG